rnacentral:rRNA from 1 species
GACGAACGCUGGCGGCGUGCCUAAUACAUGCAAGUCGAGCGAAUCAUGAGGUGCUUGCACCUCUUGGUUAGCGGCGGACGGGUGAGUAACACGUGGGCAACCUGCCUGUAAGACUGGGAUAACUUCGGGAAACCGGAGCUAAUACCGGAUAAUCCUUUUCCUCUCAUGAGGAAAAGCUGAAAGUCGGUUUACGCUGACACUUACAGAUGGGCCCGCGGCGCAUUAGCUAGUUGGUGAGGUAACGGCUCACCAAGGCGACGAUGCGUAGCCGACCUGAGGGGGUGACCGGCCACACUGGGACUGCGACACGGCCCAGACUCCUACGGGAGGCAGCAGUAGGGAAUCUUCCGCAAUGGACGAAAGUCUGACGGAGCAACGCCGCGUGAGCGAUGAAGGCCUUCGGGUCGUAAAGCUCUGUUGUUAGGGAAGAACAAGUACCGGAGUAACUGCCGGUACCUUGACGGUACCUAACCAGAAAGCCACGGCUAACUACGUGCCAGCAGCCGCCGUAACAC